rnacentral:rRNA from 1 species
GAAGGCGNCUUUCUGGACGAAAACUGACGCUGAGGCGCGAAAGCCAGGGGAGCGAACGGGAUUAGAUACCCCNGUAGUCCUGGCCGUAAACGAUGGGUACUAGGUGUAGGAGGUAUCGACCCCUUCUGUGCCGGAGUUAACGCAAUAAGUACCCCGCCUGGGGAGUACGACCGCAAGGUUGAAACUCAAAGGAAUUGACGGGGGCCCGCACAAGCGGUGGAGUAUGUGGUUUAAUUCGACGCAACGCGAAGAACCUUACCAGGUCUUGACAUUGAUGGACAGAACUAGAGAUAGCUCCUCUUCUUCGGAAGCCAGAAAACAGGUGGUGCACGGUUGUCGUCAGCUCGUGUCGUGAGAUGUUGGGUUAAGUCCCGCAACGAGCGCAACCCCUAUCUUAUGUUGCCAGCACUUUGGGUGGGAACUCAUGAGAGACUGCCGCAGACAAUGCGGAGGAAGGCGGGGAUGACGUCAAAUCAUCAUGCCCCUUAUGACCUGGGCUACACACGUACUACAAUGGGAGUUAAUAGACGGAAGCGAGAUCGCGAGAUGGAGCAGACCCGAGAAACACUCUCUCAGUUCGGAUCGUAGGCUGCAACUCGCCUACGUGAAGUCGGAAUCGCUAGUAAUCGCAGGUCUGCAUACUGCGGNGAAUACGUUCCCGGGCCUUGUACACACCGCCCGUCNC